AUAGAAGAAUGUAGAUAAGGGAAGUCGGCAAACUGGAUCCGUAACUUCGGGAAAAGGAUUGGCUCUAAGCGUUGGGUCUCUCGGGCUGAGACUUGAAGCGGGUGGAGCCGGCUUGG
rnacentral:rRNA from 1 species